rnacentral:rRNA from 1 species
GACGAACGCUGGCGGCGUGCUUAACACAUGCAAGUCGAACGGAAAGGCCCUGCUUUUGUGGGGUGCUCGAGUGGCGAACGGGUGAGUAACACGUGAGUAACCUGCCCUUGACUUUGGGAUAACUUCAGGAAACUGGGGCUAAUACCGGAUAGGAGCUCCUGCUGCAUGGUGGGGGUUGGAAAGUUUCGGCGGUUGGGGAUGGACUCGCGGCUUAUCAGCUUGUUGGUGGGGUAGUGGCUUACCAAGGCUUUGACGGGUAGCCGGCCUGAGAGGGUGACCGGCCACAUUGGGACUGAGAUACGGCCCAGACUCCUACGGGAGGCAGCAGUGGGGAAUAUUGCACAAUGGGCGGAAGCCUGAUGCAGCAACGCCGCGUGCGGGAUGACGGCCUUCGGGUUGAAACCGCUUUCGCCUGUGACGAAGCGUGAGUGACGGUAAUGGGUAAAGAAGCACCGGCUAACUACAU